rnacentral:lncRNA from 1 species
GCGACAGAGCGAGACUCUGUCUCAAACAAACAAACAAAAAAAGCGGGGGGGGGGGGGGGGGGGCGGGGGCGGGAAGAAAAGUCUUCCUGGUUUCAAGAAGAGGAUUUAAAUGUAGGCUUAAAGCAGGGGUUGCCCUGAGGCCCAGGAGGAGAGAGAGCUACAGGGUUCACAAACCCUGACAGACCCAGUUUCUUCCUACACUGAAAGGAAAGGGGGUUCCAGGUCUCCAGGCCUGGCCUGAGGAGGGGUCAGGUGGUAUGGAUGGAGAGGUCUGGCCAGGCAUGGUGAUGUUCAUGCCUUUAAUCCCAGCACUUAGGGAGGCAGAGGCAGGAGAAUAGCUCCAGCCCAGGAGUUUGAGACCAGCCUGAGCAACAUAGCCAGACCCCAUUCACCACAAAAAGGAAAAAAAGUUUGGACAGGGAGGUCAUAUGCACACCAGCCUUCAGCCCACGAGCCAUCCCGCGUGCAGGCAUACACAGGCACCACCAGCCACAGAAGCAUGUGCACACAGGCACCUGCUAGAUCAGAAACCAGCCUGAAGGGCCCCCAGCAACUUCCCCAAACUGGCUGCCACGCCUGCCCAGGAAGUUGCUCAGUUCCUACAUGCCACAGGGAAGGCCUGCCCACCUCCACCUCUCUUGACUCUGUCUCCUCAGGGAACAAGAGCUCCUCAUCAGCCUUUGUCAAACACUCCAUCCUCUGCUCAUAAGCAGCUGAGCAGCUGCUGCUGAGGAACCCAGUGUAACUGGGAGUAACCCGGCCUGCAGCCACCAUCCCUGGGAGCGGCUGCCUCCCAUUGGCUGGGCCUCAUGAGGCGACGUGGCAGCAGAGCCUCCCCUUCUACUGGCUGCCAGGGAGGCGGGCACAGGGCCAAGUCUCACGGGCUGGCGCCGGGGGAGCCCUGAGCAGCCUGCACAGGUUUCAGGGGGAGCAUGCUCCAGCAGCCGACCUGUCCCCACCCGGCACCAGCUGCCACAACCUGAAAAUCCGCUUGCUGCCAAGAGCUGCCUGAGCCCAGCCCAGGCUCCCACCCUGCCUCAGAGACAGGAUCCACCUGCCUACUCCUGGUGAGAGCUCUAGAGAGCUACGGGGGCCCGGCCCAGCUGGCUGCAGGCGCAGCUGUUCCACCUAUCCCAGAGCAUCCCUGACCACUAUAGGCAGCCAGAGCUUCAGGCGGACCCAGGAACUGUCCUACUCUCCAGCUUCCCGACCCAUCGCCCUCCACCCCUGAGCUCCUAGAGGACCUUGGAGACGGGAGGAAAGGCCUCCAGGUUCAGGCCUGAUCCCUCUCCGGGUGGGGCACUAGGGAGGUUGGGUUGCCCAGGGAAAGUAGAUAUUACUCAUACAUAGUAACAGCAUAAUUGCUCACCCAGCUCCUUCCAAAGAUCAGUUAAUAAAAUUAAAAGGAAAAGGCAGUCACCUCCCACGAAGGUAUCUAUUGCCUGAGAUCCUUUCCUAGGGGGCCGCCUCAUUUUAUUUGGUCCUUCAAUAAGUCCCCAGGGCUGGGGAUGUGGUCGAUGGUCUCGAUGCGCAAAGCACCGUUCCCGCGCGAACAUCCACAUUCAGACAAAUGCCUGAGGGACGC